rnacentral:lncRNA from 1 species
AAACUAAGCGACGCAUAAUAAUUUAGUUUUCAAACUUUAAUUUUUUGUAAUUUUGUAUUUCAAACUUUAUAAAUUGUUGUAAUUAAGUCUCAUAAUUCAAUUGAGUUAAGAAAAUACUAUAUGUGAUAGUGAUGUGAUAGUUAAAUUAUUAUUGUGUCAUCCGUCACAAUACUAUCAUAUUAAUUUUUUAUUACGAUGCAUCAGUAUUUAAUUAACUAUAUUAGAUUAUGUGAUUUAAUUGUAAUAAUUUUAAAAAAUUAUGUCUAAAAUUAUGAUAAAUUAAAAUUUUAGUGCUAAACUGUCAGGUGACUCAUAAUUUGAGGACGAUAAGCAUAAUUUAAUUAUUUUCUCUUUUAUUUUUAAUAUAAUUUAGUCAUUCUUAAAUAACGAUUUUGCCCCUAAAAUAAAAAAGUGUGGCUGCUGUUUGGACGGGUGAGCUUCGAGAAAGUUUACUGUAUCAUAUUUAUAUCACAUUAUUAAUAACAAGUCAAUUAUAUUUUUUUUAAUAAAAAGUACACUAAAAAUAUUUUUUAUAAUUAUAAUGUGACGAAUAAUCCUAAAAAGAAGCCAUUUGAUUGGUUAGAGACACUACGUCACCAAUAUAGCAGGUUGUCAGGGACUUAAAAAAAAUCCUACGGAGCCCGGUCCCUGGCCCAACUCCGCUAGUGAAAACGGGUUGAAUCGAGUUAUCAAGGAGACCCGAAUCCAACCCGCUGUGGAAAACUCAAGGGUUGCAAAACUGCCAAGAGUUAUGGAGUAACUCUUGGACUUAUGGCUCAUUAUUGUUUGAGUUAGUGGGUUAGUUGUGUGGCUAGAUUCAUUAUAUCUUUAGGCCUAUAAGUAGUGGGUUUGGUUAAAGCCAAAACACAUAAGAGAGAGUGUGUGUAUGUGUGAUGUAAUUCUUUUUUUUCUAAGUAGUGGAAUACUUAGGUUUUUUUGGGUUAAUCUCUGCCUCUCUCUCUUUUAUUCUCUUUGCAUACUUAGUCGUAGAACGUGAAGAUUCGAGCUAGCAAUAGGGACAAAAAUUUGUCUAUCUUUGUGAAAAAAGAUGGGCGUUGCAUGGACUUUGUGAACGUAAAUGCUAAGUUCGUGACAGAUGCACUCCAAUUUUUUUUUUUCUGAAUACCAGGAGGAAACCAGCAACACGUGGGAGAAAAUGGUAGAAUGACGAUUAUGCCCUUGAAGACAAGGAGGACAGUUUUAUCUUCUUUUGUCUUACUUACAUGUAUGAAGUGAAAGAUUCGGAAUAAAUUUUUAGAAUAAAUUUUCAGUUCGCGUAAGUUACUUAUUAAUUUUAAUAAAUUUAUAAUUAUAAAAAUUUUAUAAAGUAUAUAAAUUAAAUCUAUAAAAAUAAACAAUACAUUCAAAUUUUAAAAUUAAAAUUCUAUUGACGGACUCAAAUCAAACAAAUUAAAAUAUUAGAUAGUAAAAUUAAAAUUUUUAAAAAUUGAGUAGUCAAUUAAAAAUAAUCUAUUAUAUAGCUCAGUAAAUUUUACACAAUUUUACUUUAUAUUUUUAGGUAAAAAUAAAUAGAAUUUUUCUCAAUUAUCACUCAUUUUAAUCUAACUAUAUAACCUUAAAAAAACAUUAAUUUUGCUACAGAAUCUAUUAAUUUAUUUGAUUUGAAUUAAUUAAUUAUAUUCUUAAUUUUAAAACUUUAAUGCAUCAUUUAUCUUAAUGGACAGUUUUUGCUUCAAAUUUGAAUUUGGCUUGAACUUCAAAGAAGAGAAUAACUACAACAAUUUUAUUCUAUUACAUCAAUUUAAUUGCAUCGUAAACUAAACAAGAUAUAUUUUAUUGCAACAGUUUGCAUCGUUAUAAUAAUGCAAACAUAUUAUUUAGUUCAUUUAUUAUCACAAGAUUUAUGAUAACGAUUUAUAAUAAAUUUUAUUUAUUAUAAAAAAUUAUUAUUGUAACUAAUUAGUAUCAAGAGUACGUCUCCUGCGCUUUCGAAAGUACGGAGGUCUCCGUACUUGUAAAUUAUUUUUGAUGAUAGAAUAUUCAAUUCGACGAUCGACUCUAUUAGACAUGAUUUAUAUUAUUAAAACUAUUUAAAAAUCAAAUUUUAUAAUUUUUUGACAACAUUUACUAAGUGAUCAAAGGGUUUCGAAAUUAACUAUGUAAUGACCGAUGUGAUACGUUUGUAAGUUCAAUAGUGUAAAACAAUUCAAAUUGCAUGAAACUUUAAUAAAAAAUUUACUUAAUAUUGAGAGUAAGAUCAAUACUUCCGAUUUGAAAUUUGAGUCUUUUAUCACUAUUUUUUGUAAGAUUUUUAUUUUCAGCGUUUAUUUUGAGUCUGCUCGUUCAUUAGGCAAACGAAGUCAAAAAAUUGUGAAAUUUGGUUUUUAAUUAGUUCUAAUAAUGUAGAUCAUAUCUAACAAAACCGAUCGUUGAAUUGAAUAUCUCAUUAUUGAAAACAACUUAUAAAUACGGAAGCCUCCGUAUUUUCGAAAGUAUAGGAGUACUCUAGCUUUUAGUAUCCAAUCAUAAUAAUAUUUAUUUUGAAAAAGAAUGGGUCUAGUACUACAGUUAUCUGAAAAUGCGUCGCAAUGUGAUGAAAGAGUUGUAUGUAUAUGGCAAUUUUACGGAAAUUUCAAAAUCUGAACAGGUGGCAAUUAUAGGAACAGGAUAGUAGCCUCACUAUAUAUAUAUAUAUAUAUAUAGAGUAGGGCUAGAAUAUUUUUACAAGUAUCACCCAAGUGAUACUUGUGUGUUUUUAGCCAUUGGAUCUACUUUUUGAUUACUAAUAGGCCUUGGAUCAAACACUAUUCCACCUACCACCACCUACCACCACCUACCACCAUCAUCUCAACCUCACAUCUCUCCAUCCAAGGGAUAAAAACACACAAGUAUCACCCAAGUGAUACUUUUACAAGUAUUCUAGCUCUACUCUAUAUAUAUAUAUAUAGUCCAACUAUGGUGCUUGUAAAAGUACCAAGCACUUGGUGCUUGUAAGUUUUUUACCGUUAGAUCUACUCCUCGGAUCAUUUUCAACCAUUAGAUUAUACUAUUCAACUAACCACCCACUAAACCCUAAGGGGCCCACAUCAUCUUAACCGCAUAUAUUUUAAUCCAAUGGCUAAAAAUCUACAAGUAUCAAUAACUUGGUACUUUUAAAAAUAUAGGAGCUCAAUUAUAUAUGGGUCCGGCUACUAUACUUUUAUGAGUAUUGGCUCCCUUAUACUCAUAAGAGUAUAGUAGCCCCAGCCAUAUAUAUA